UUGCAGCUCCCAUAGACACUAGCGCCAGAGUUCCCUCUAAGAGGCUGAGCCGCAGACGUUGCCAGAAUUUUCGGCCGUUUCCUUUGACAUCCAAAUCCUGACUGGAGCAGCAAGAUCUGUACUGCUCGCAACAUAUGGAUCUGAGGUGCAAGGAGAUGGCCAUGGUUAGAGCCCCUAACUCUGUGCCAAGGAAAACUUGAAGUUCUGCAAACUCAUAUACCAGAGGAAUCUGCAAAAUUCUGCGACGAUAUUAAGCGGGCAUCAGUGGCACGGAGUUGUGAGAGUGGAGUUCGCAUCCUCCCGCCGUGAAGCACCUGCAGAGGCUUGCUGGAAAUCGGGCAGUCGUGGUGUCCCACCUGCAAG
rnacentral:lncRNA from 1 species